GUCUAUGGCCAUGCCACCCUGAACAAGCCCGAUCCUGUCUGAUCUCAGAAGCUAAGCAGGGUUGGGCCUGGUUAGUACUUGGAUGGGAGACCACCUAAGAAGACCAGGUGCUGUAGGUG
rnacentral:rRNA from 1 species